CCAAUAGCGUAUAUUAAAGUUGCUGCAGUUAAAAAGCUCGUAGUUGAAUUUCGGGACCAAUAUGUCGGUCGUGCCUCAGUACGUACUGGUAUUAUUGGUUUCUCCCUUCUGAAGAACCUUGAUGUCAUUAAUUUGGUGUCUUGGGGAAUCAGGACUGUUACUUUGAAAAAAUUAGAGUGUUUAAAGCAGGCUCGCGCUUGAAUACAUUAGCAUGGAAUAAUGAAAUAGGACGUUUGAUUCUAUUUUGUUGGUUUCUAGGAUCGAUGUAAUGAUUAAUAGGGAUAGUUGGGAGCAUUAGUAUUCAAUUGUCAGAGGUGAAAUUCUUGGAUUUAUUGAAGACUAACAACUGCGAAAGCGUUUGCCAAGGAUGUUUUCAUUAAUCAAGAACGAAAGUUAGGGGAUCGAAGACGAUCAGAUACCGUCGUAGUCUUAACCAUAAACUAUGCCGACUAGGAAUCGGAUGAUGUUAAUUUUUUAAUGACUCAUUCGGCGCCUUACG
rnacentral:rRNA from 1 species